UGGGGGCUGGAAUACCCCCCGAAAUUCCCAAUAUUCCUGGAAAAAUUCCCCUGUUCUGACUCUUUUCCCUUUUUCCCCCUCAGGCUGACGGAGCUCCCGGAGCCGAUUCCGGGUGGGAUCGACGCCGAGAUGGACCCGGGGGAAAAUGCAGCUCUGGAGGGAUGGGUCACACAAAUCCGAAAACUGCAGGAGGAAUUUGGUAAGUCCUUCAAGCCCUUCCCCCCCCGUGGGCAGUGGCUGGAAAAUGUCAUUUUUUUAUGGAAAUUUGAGGUGGUUUUCCCUGUUUUCUCCCCAAAGAAAGUGACACUGAACUGGAGGAAUGUGACACAGAAAAUGGUGAGUUUUGGGGUCCAAAUUGUGCUAAAUAAUAAUAUAAUUAUUUAUAAUUAUAUAAU
rnacentral:lncRNA from 1 species